GGCUGCGUGGCCCAGUGGUUAAGGCAUCUGCUUUACAGGAGACAGCCCUCACCGGCUGACCUCGGUAUCGCAGAGGAUCGCAGGUUCGAUCCCUGCCGCGGUCA
rnacentral:tRNA from 1 species